CCUACGGGAGGCAGCAGUGGGGAAUAUUGCACAAUGGGGGAAACCCUGAUGCAGCGACGCCGCGUGAGUGAAGAAGUAUUUCGGUACGUAAAGCUCUAUCAGCAGGGAAGAAAAUGACGGUACCUGACUAAGAAGCCCCGGCUAACUACGUGCCAGCAGCCGCGGUAAUACGUAGGGGGCAAGCGUUAUCCGGAUUUACUGGGUGUAAAGGGAGCGUAGACGGCAGCACAAGUCUGGAGUGAAAUCCCAUGGCUUAACCAUGGAACUGCUUUGGAAACUGUGCAGCUAGAGUGCAGGAGAGGUAAGCGGAAUUCCUAGUGUAGCGGUGAAAUGCGUAGAUAUUAGGAGGAACACCAGUGGCGAAGGCGGCUUACUGGACUGUAACUGACGUUGAGGCUCGAAAGCGUGGGGAGCAAACAGGAUUAGAUACCCCUGUAGUC
rnacentral:rRNA from 1 species